GCUCUUACUCGCGUGACGUCACCAGCGGCACCGCUGAGGCGUCCGUCGCACAUGGCGGUCACCUCUCUGCUCAGAGCUCUCGUGCAAGUUCGCCUUACCUUUAACCACCCGGCCAGAUCCUUUCGGACUGUGCAAGCAGUUUCCCGUCGUCACCGCUUACCUCACGAUCAGAUGAACGUGGAGGGCAGCGAGAUGCGAGAGCGGGCGGCGCGCAUCUGCCGAGACUACCUGCACGGCGCCUGGAAGUCAGUCACCUCCAAGGACAUCCAGCUAAAGAGGAUCAGUGGCGGCCUAAGCAACUGGCUGUUCCACGUCGCCCUGCCUACGGACACACCGCCCAAGGGCAGUGAGCCAUCGCAGGUACUAUUGCGCAUCUACGGGCAGACCCACGGCGAGCGCGCUCUUGAGGCACUCGUCACCGAGUCUGUGAUAUUCACAUUGCUUUCGGAGCGCCGCUUGGGGCCCAAGCUGCACGGCAUCUUCCCUGGAGGCCGCAUUGAGGAAUACAUACCGGCACGGGCAUUGAAAACCAGAGAGAUGGCAGAUACCAAAUUGAGCCCACUGAUAGCAGAGCGCAUGGCUCAAAUUCACAGGAUGAAUGUACCAAUAAGCAAGGAACCACGCUGGCUUUGGGACACUAUGGAUAGGUGGACACAGAGUGCAGAGGCAAUUUUGGUGGAGGUUGAAGGUGCUCAACCUGAGGUUCUUUCCUACAUCAAUAAAAUCCAAAAGUACAACCUAGGAUCUGAAGUCAAGUGGUUGAUGUCUUUCCUGAAGAAGCUGCAGUCUCCAGUAGUAUUCUGCCACAACGACAUGCAGGAAGGCAAUAUUCUGUUGUACAACCACAACCUCACUGACCAACAGGCUCUCAGCACACCACGUCUGGUGCUGAUAGAUUUCGAGUACUGCUCAUACAACUACCGCGGUUUUGAUUUGGCUAACCACUUCAUUGAAUGGGUGUAUGAUUAUACAUAUCCUACUCAUCCAUUCUUUUCAGUCAAUUACAGCCACUAUCCCAGCCCAGAGCAGCAGUUGGGUGUUCGCUGAGUGAAUCGACUGAGCGACUGACCCUGCUGUUGUCCCACCUUCUUGAGACUGCAGCAGAGCGACCAUCAACUGGCCAGAACAGUAAAAUUAUGAGAACAUUCUAACAAAUUAAAGUGGAGUAUCUGAACCGGGUUGCGGACCUCAUGUUCUGGAAAAUAGCACACUUCUCACAGCUGGUCUUCGCAAGGUCUUACCUGAAGACUUUCCAUCAGAAACAACCAACAACUGAAGAAGAAACAGUACUGUUGAAGGAAGUGCAAGCCUUCACUCUUGCUUCACAUCUUUUCUGGGGACUAUGGGCUGUUGUCA
rnacentral:misc_RNA from 1 species